CCUACGGGGGGCAGCAGUGAGGAAUAUUGGUCAAUGGGCGAGAGCCUGAACCAGCCAAGUCGCGUGAGGGAGUACUGCCCUAUGGGUUGUAAACCUCUUUUGUCGGGGAGCAAAAGCCGGACGUGUCCGGCUGUGAGAGUACCCGAAGAAAAAGCAUCGGCUAACUCCGUGCCAGCAGCCGCGGUAAUACGGAGGAUGCGAGCGUUAUCCGGAUUUAUUGGGUGUAAAGGGUGCGCAGGCGGAUUUUUAAGUCAGCGGUAAAAUCGUGGGGCUCAACCCCAUCCAGCCGUUGAAACUGGGGAUCUAGAGUGUGCGAGAGGUAUGCGGAAUGCGUGGUGUAGCGGUGAAAUGCAUAGAUAUCACGCAGAACCCCGAUUGCGAAGGCAGCAUACCGGUGCACAACUGACGCUCAGGCACGAAAGCGUGGGUAUCGAACAGGAUUAGAUACCCCUGUAGUC
rnacentral:rRNA from 1 species